rnacentral:rRNA from 1 species
UGCAAGUAGAGCGAAGCGCUUAAGUUUGAUUCUUCGGAUGAAGACUUUUGUGACUGAGCGGCGGACGGGUGAGUAACGCGUGGGUAACCUGCCUCAUACAGGGGGAUAACAGUUAGAAAUGACUGCUAAUACCGCAUAAGACCACGGUACCGCAUGGUACAGUGGUAAAAACUCCGGUGGUAUGAGAUGGACCCGCGUCUGAUUAGGUAGUUGGUGGGGUAACGGCCUACCAAGCCGACGAUCAGUAGCCGACCUGAGAGGGUGACCGGCCACAUUGGGACUGAGACACGGCCCAGACUCCUACGGGAGGCAGCAGUGGGGAAUAUUGCACAAUGGAGGAAACUCUGAUGCAGCGACGCCGCGUGAAGGAUGAAGUAUUUCGGUAUGUAAACUUCUAUCAGCAGGGAAGAAAAUGACGGUACCUGACUAAGAAGCCCCGGCUAACUACGUGCCAGCAGCCGCGGUAAUA